UGUGUGAAACGGACUGGGAGCAAAUAAAAAUUAUUAAACACAUUUCAAAGUAAGUAGGCUUACUGUAAAAAUCUGUACACUGUUAGAAAUUACCAGCAUUUCACAAUAAUUAAAAGUAUUAUUUUACAGUAACUUGUUGUAAAUGAGUUUCCCUGUAAUAUCCCGAUGAAUACCUGUAAAAACUACAGUAUCCUUGGAUUUUACAGCAUUUAACUCUUAUUUUAUAGUAAAUCUUGCAAUCUAAAACCUGCUGUUAUAUCACAACAAGGUCUGUAAUAUCACAGCAACACAGUGAAAAAAUUAAGGAUUUCACAGCAUUAAACAGUAUUAUUACAGUGUGCCAUGACAUAACUGAACUGUUUUGAACUGAAGGCUCCGUCGUGUCCCUCUUCUAUUCCGGGCUGAAUGGAGAAGGUCAUCCUGUUCAGUGUCAGGCUAAGAGUGAGGAGAAUUAGAUUAGGUGUGUCAGGUGGGGCCCAGCAGAUUGGCCAGAGGGGGAGACCGAGGCAACGUUGGAGAAUAUGAAGAGGGAUCUGCUGAACAUCUACUCAG